GACGAACGCUGGCGGCGUGCUUAACACAUGCAAGUCGAACGGAAAGGCCCUGCUUUUGUGGGGUGCUCGAUUGGCGAACGGGUGAGUAACACGUGAGUAACCUGCCCUUGACUUUGGGAUAACUUCAGGAAACUGGGGCUAAUACCGGAUAGGAGCUCCUGCUGCAUGGUGGUGGUUGGAAAGUUUCGGCGGUUGGGGAUGGACUCGCGGCUUAUCAGCUUGUUGGUGGGGUAGUGGCUUACCAAGGCUUUGACGGGUAGCCGGCCUGAGAGGGUGACCGGCCACAUUGGGACUGAGAUACGGCCCAGACUCCUACGGGAGGCAGCAGUGGGGAAUAUUGCACAAUGGGCGGAAGCCUGAUGCAGCAACGCCGCGUGCGGGAUGACGGCCUUCGGGUUGUAAACCGCUUUCGCCUGUGACGAAGCGUGAGUGACGGUAAUGGGUAAAGAAGCAACGGCUAACUACGUG
rnacentral:rRNA from 1 species